AACCUCCGCAAUGUGAGAAAUCGCGACGGGGGGAUCCCAAGUGCCAUUCUUAACGGGAUGGCUUUUCAUUAGUGUAAAGAGCUUUUGGAAUAAGGGCUGGGCAAGACCGGUGCCAGCCGCCGCGGUAACACCGGCAGCUCUAGUGGUAGCAGUUUUUAUUGGGCCUAAAGCGUCCGUAGCCGGUUUAAUAAGUCUCUGGUGAAAUCCUGUAGCUUAACUGUGGGAAUUGCUGGAGAUACUAUUAGACUUGAGACCGGGAGAGGUUAGAGGUACUCCCAGGGUAGAGGUGAAAUUCUGUAAUCCUGGGAGGACCGCCUGUUGCGAAGGCGUCUAACUGGAACGGUUCUGACGGUGAGGGACGAAAGUUAGGGGCGCGAACCGGAUUAGAUACCCGGGUAGUCCUAACUGUAAACGAUGCGGACUUGGUGUUGGGGUGGCUUUGAGCUGCUUCAGUGCCGAAGGGAAGCUGUUAAGUCCGCCGCCUGGGAAGUACGGUCGCAAGACUGAAACUUAAAGGAAUU
rnacentral:rRNA from 1 species